rnacentral:rRNA from 1 species
GAUGAACGCUAGCGGCAGGCCUAAUACAUGCAAGUCGAACGGUGUCUUCGGACAUAGUGGCGCACGGGUGCGUAACACGUAUGCAACCUACCUUACAUUGGGGGAUAGCCUUUCGAAAGGGAGAUUAAUACCGCAUAAGACAGUAGCUGGGCAUCCAGUAGCUGUUAAAGAUUUAUCGAUGUACGCUGGGCAUGCGUCCAAUUAGUUAGUUGGUGAGGUAACGGCUCACCAAGACGAUGAUUGGUAGGGGAACUGAGAGGUCAAUCCCCCACACUGGCACUGAGAUACGGGCCAGACUCCUACGGAAGGCAGCAGUAGGGAAUAUUGGGCAAUGGACGCAAGUCUGACCCAGCCAUGCCGCGUGCAGGAAGAAGGCGUUCUGCGUUGUAAACUGCCUUUAUAUAGGAAGAAACGACCCUUGCGAGGGGCAUUGACGGUAUUAUAUGAAUAAGCACCGGCCAACUCCGUGCCAGCCGCCGCGGUAAUAC